GACUAGCUCUCCUAUGCUGGCUGCCUCCAGUCAAUGAAUGGAGAAUAAUCCCAUUUAGUACCACAGCUUUUCAUGGGUGGAGCUAAGGUCUUGAUGGAAUCACUCAGGAACCUUAAGACUAAUCAACUUAAGGAACCAAUGACAUCAGUAAAUCCCAAGGAUUGAAACGCAAGGCAGAGAAACUCUGGCAUCCUCUCGUGGAGCAGUGACCCACUACUCUCCCAAACAGUGCAGCGGCAAAGUUUUCAAUUAGCCUUGCAUGGGGGACUGACAGCAUCAAUUUUAAACAGCCUGGGAGAGGAGAGGAUUUCUCUCUGGAGAUCCCUUCAUCACUGGGAGAAGUACACAGGAGCCAAACAUUUGAGGACACUUUGCCAGCUCUCAUCAACCAUCCUGGACCAGCCACCCCAAUUGAUUCUGCUACACACUUGUCUGUCUGUAACGACAGCCACUACAGAAGGUUAAUAGAUAA